CAGACAUUGCAAUAAAUAUUAAUGUCAUGGCAGGCUUCAUAUAUGUUGCAAAGCUGCAAUCAGGUAAAGGCAAUUGCAGCCAGAAAUGUUUAUGGCAUUGAAAUUUUCAGAAGAAAAUGGCCAGAAAAAUAAAGUAUACUUGUAAAAUGAUGGCAAACAACACGGAUAAUGAUCACAAAUGCUCAAUCAAUAAUCUGGUGACCUGGGUAAAUUCAAAAAUAAAAUGAUUAAAAGGCAUAAAACAAUGGAGGCAGAUUUAAAGAACCACAGUAACUUGAAAAGUUAGGUAUACUAUUGUGCUCUAGUAACUUAGAAAAGCUAGAUAUAAAAUUGUGCUUUACUCUAGAACAUAUGUAUACAAGUGUAUAUGGAAGUAUGCAUGUACACAUACAUGGAUAUGUGUGCGUAGAUAUGCAUGUAUUAGUACAAGAUGAAAGCAAUACAGCUUGAACCAGAAUUAUAAUAUUUAGUUAUUCCAUGAUCAAACCAGAAUUAUAAUAUUUAGUUUUUCCAUGAUCAAUACUAACUCCUCGUCAACCCAAAGUAAGAAUUAAAAGAGGAGAGCCCAAUAAGCUAACAAGGUAAGCUUAUCAAGCACAACAAGGCUUCAUAAUAGUUUUACUGUGGAUAAAACCCUUGUGAUUCAUAGCACAUGCGCACAAAUCUCAGAAAUAUAACUUGUUUGUCAUAUUACCUAGUCUAGAUUUCAGCAAGAUCAAGACAUAAAAGUUAACAAAUAACAAUUUAAGAGUGAAAGUUGGACAUAUUAACAAACUUUCAAGUCAGAUACGUCCACUUCCAUCUUAAAGUCAUGAUCACCAUAAGCAGCUCUAUUCUUGGCCUUAGCUUUCCGCUAGCCAUUACAUAAAUAGUCUCUCAAAACCUUGGCCAAAUCCUCACUUCUUGCAGAAUGAUAAAAUGCUACCAUUAAACUAAGAAAG
rnacentral:misc_RNA from 1 species